rnacentral:tRNA from 1 species
AGCAGCGUGGCUCAGUGGCAAGAGCCCGGACUUGGGAGUCAGAGGUCAUGGGUUCGAAUCCCGGCUCUGCCG